rnacentral:lncRNA from 1 species
UGAACUCCUGGAUGCAAGCAAUCCUCCCACCUCGGCCUCCCAAAAUGCUGGGAUUACAGGCAUGAGCCACUGCACUGGACCAUGAAAGUUUGAAAGAAGUCGUCUUAUAGAUGGUUAUGAAGAGUUGGAAGUUUCUGAGGAAAGAGAGCCUUGUUGCUGAAGUCUGCUCAUAUCCGUGAAGGCAAAUAGCUCUUCCAUAGUGUAAAUACCCACUGGUGGGUCGUGGUCUUCAUUAUAUACUGGAAACAGCAUUUGGUAAGAGAAUUAUCCAGUGUUCCAGAUGCCUUGUGCUGAGACUGCUGUUGGAUUCAGUAAAGAAUGGUUCUGUCUGAGGUAGGGAUCAGUUAAGGUAGGUAGAAUUUGCUGAUUCUCACUAUCACAAUAUUCUUGGGGAUAAGGUGUUGUGCCAAACUCCUAUUAAUCUCAAUAGGGAAGGUACCAGGUUCAAGAGGCCAAAGAAGAGACCAAGAGCCAGCAAAUGAGACACAGGGUUUUAUUAGGGAAUUACAUACAGGGGAGAGAGUCCAGCGGUGGCAGGAUGGACAACAUAACCACAUAGCCCAGUGGCAGUGGGUUGGGCAGGAAAACUGCAGCCACCUGCAAACAGCAUGCAGUUUCCAUAGCAUUUCCACUUAACACCCUCCCCGUGACAACCUCCACCUGGCAACCUUCAUUUAACCCAAAACUCAGGGCCUUGAUGUACAGCCUGUGUUCCAUGGAACAUGCAAGGGGCUCAGAUGUUUAUCAUAGAUAAGGAACGAACUUCCAGGUUAGCUACUUGGGUUCCCCAGCUUGGAACACACAUUUAGAUGCAUCUGCCAUCCAGGGGCAUUCUCAGAGUAUGCUUAAAGAAUUGCUACCAGGUGUGUUUACCCUACGUAAGACUAUCCCAGGUUUAGGAUAGCAGCCUCUACGACUUAAGAAGGCCACCUUUGUGUUCAUAAAAUCAUCUGCAUAUUGUCAUAAUAUUUGCUUAACUAACUAUAUAAUCCACCCUCAGGACAUUUUCAUAUUAAAUGCUCAUUAUUUCUUAAACUUGCCCUUUUCUUCUCACCUGUCAAUAGACAUUGAUUCUCAUGAGGCAAUUCUUUCAACAAGCACUUAUUGAACACCGACAGUGCUAGAGUUUUCAGAACGCUGAUGAUCAGGCCCUUCCCUGAGAGAUGAUUUUAGACUAAGGAUGCAUGGUUUGGGAAGCCUAUGAGCAAUGGUUCUCAUAUCUGCUAUACAUUAGCAUCACCUGGAAAGCUUUUGCAAAGGCCAGGGCUCAGGAUGCACCCAGACCAGGUGAUUGACUGUUUCUGAGGAUGGGACUUAGGCAUGUAGCUUUCAAAGCUCCCCAAGUGAUUUUAAUGUGCAGCCAGGGUUGAGAACCAGUGCCAGAAAACAAUGAUUCUCAUCAAAUUGGCUGCAUAUGAGAAUCAGCCAGGGAGAUUUUUUUAAUAAAUAAAACUACCUGGGCCCCACCCCAGAACAAAUGAGUCAGAAUCUUUGGAAGAGGGAUCUGGGCAACUGUAUGUUUUCCAAAGCUCCUUCAUAUAAUCUGAUACAUGGCAAGUACUGAGAAUCAUUGCUACAGGCAAUCUAGUGAAUGAGAACAUCUAGAGUUGAACCCAUUUCUGGCUCUUUGGCUUUGCAAGCCACGCAUAACUGUAGGAUGAAGAGUCACCUCUGAGCGGCCAUGUUGGGUAAUGAACAGCAGGGCUGAGAACCUGAAGGCAUGGGUCAAGUCUUGGCUUUGCCAUAUAACAUUUGCUCUGCAAUGUCACACAAAUCACGUAACUU